rnacentral:rRNA from 1 species
GACGAACGCUGGCGGCGUGCUUCACACAUGCAAGUCGAACGAAGUGGCGAACGGGUGAGUAACGCGUAAUCAACCUGCACUUCAGAGGGGGACAACAGUUGGAAACGACUGCUAAUACCGCAUACUGAAGGAGGGGAUUUCGUCUGAUUGGCUCGUUGGCGGGGUAACGGCCCACCAAGGCGAUGAUCAGUAACUGGUCUUAGAGGAUGACCGGCCACAUUGGUACUGAGAGACGGCCCAGACUCCUACGGGAGGCAGCAGUGGGGACUCUUCCGCAAUGGACGUAAGUCUGACGGAGCAACGCCGCGUGAGUGAUGACGGCCUUCGGGGUGUAAAGCUCUGUUAAUCGGGACGCGGUACCGGAAUAGAAAGCCACGGCUAACUACGUGCCAGCAGCCGCGGUAAUUC